CACUAGCGUAUAUUAAAGUUGUUGCGGUUAAAAAGCUCGUAGUUGGAUUUCUGCCGAGGACGACCGGUCCGCCCUCUGGGUGAGUAUCUGGCUCGGCCUGGGCAUCUUCUUGGAAACGUAUCUGCACUUGGCUGUGUGGUGCGGUAUUCAGGAUUUUUACUUUGAGGAAAUUAGAGUGUUUCAAGCAGGCAUACGCCUUGAAUACAUUAGCAUGGAAUAAUAAGAUAGGACCUCGGUUUUAUUUUGUUGGUUUCUAGAUCUGAGGUAAUGGUUAAUAGGGAUAGUUGGGGGGCAUUCGUAUUUAAUUGUCAGAGGUGAAAUUCAUGGAUUUGUUGAAGACGGACUACUGCGAAAGCAUUUGCCAAGGAUGUUUUCAUUGAUCAAGAACGAAAGUUAGGGGAUCGAAGACGAUCAGAUACC
rnacentral:rRNA from 1 species